rnacentral:rRNA from 1 species
GACAUAGGUGGCGAACGUUAUCCGGAAUUACUGGGCGUAAAGAGUGCGUAGGUGGUUCAAUAAGUUACUGGUGGGAAAUCGGGGCUCAACCUCGUGGAAGUCAGUAAUACUAUUAAAACUAGAGGGUCGGAGAGGUUAACGGAAUUCUAUGUGUAGCGGUAAAAUGCUUAAAUAUAUAGAGGAACACCAAACGGCGAAGGCAGUUAACUAUUCGAUUCCUGACGUUUGAGGCACGAAAGCGUGGGGAGCAAGACGG